GAUGAACGCUGGCGGCGUGCCUAAUACAUGCAAGUCGAGCGAACAGACCAGGAGCUUGCUCCUCUGACGUUAGCGGCGGACGGGUGAGUCACACGUGGAUGACCUACCUAUAAGACUGGGGUAACUUCGGGAAACCGGAGCUAAUACCGGAUAAUAUAUUGCACCGCAUGGUUCAAUAGUGAAAUACGGUUUUUCUUUCACUUAUAGAUGGAUCCGCGCCGCAUUAGCUAGUGGGUAAGGUAACGGCUUACCAAGGCAACGAUGCGUAGACGACCUGAGAGGGUGGUCGCCCACCUUGGAUGAGAGGCAGGGCCCCGACUCGUGGGGGAGGACACGGUAGAGAAUCUUACGCGAUGGAGGAGAGGGGGACGGAGCAAAGCGGCGUGAGUGAUGAAGGUCUUCGGCUGGUAAAGCUCUGUUGGUAGGAGGGAACUAAUGUGUAAGUAACCAUGAACAUAAUGACGGUACCUGGUCAAAAAGCCACGGCUAACUACGUG
rnacentral:rRNA from 1 species